UACGGGGGGGGCAAGCGUUGUUCGGAUUUACUGGGCGUAAAGGGCGCGUAGGCGGCGCGGUAAGUCACUUGUGAAAUCUCUGAGCUUAACUCAGAACGGCCAAGUGAUACUGCAGUGCUAGAGUGCAGAAAGGGCAAUCGGAAUUCUUGGUGUAGCGGUGAAAUGCGUAGAUAUCAAGAGGAACACCUGAGGCGAAGGCGGGUUGCUAGGCUGACACUGACGCUGAGUGCGCGAAAGCCAGGGGAGCAAACGGG
rnacentral:rRNA from 1 species